rnacentral:rRNA from 1 species
GCAGCCGCCACGGUAAUACGUAGGGUGCAAGCGUUAAUCGGAAUUACUGGGCGUAAAGCGUGCGCAGGCGGUUUGUCAAGACAGAUGUGAAAUCCCCGGGCUUAACCUGGGAACUGCAUUUGUGACUGGCGAGCUAGAGUAUGGCAGAGGGGGGUAGAAUUCCACGUGUAGCAGUGAAAUGCGUAGAGAUGUGUAGGAAUACCGAUGGCGAAGGCAACCCCCUGGGCCAAUACUGACGCUCAUGCACGAAAGCGUGGGGAGCAAACAGGAUUAGAUACCCCCGUAGUCCCUGUCUCUUAUAC